CGGCGGGUGCUGGAGCGGAGAUGCUGACGGGCGCGGGGCUCAGGUGGCUGGCAGCGAGCAGCAGGAGGUGGGGCGGAGAUGGAGUGCGACGACGACGCAGGGAGGCGGCCGGCGAGCACAGGGAUGUUGCGGCAGAAGGCGAUGGCGGCACAGGGAGGCUGGGGUGGAGAGCGACGGCGGCGCAAGGGAGGCAGCCGGCGAGGGGAUGGCCGCGGCGGCGCGGGCAUAGGAAGCCGGGGUGGAGAGCGACGCGAAGAAGAG
rnacentral:lncRNA from 1 species